UGAGGAGGUAUGAGCUUUAUUGAUGAAAGUUUGAAAUUCUGGGCGAGAGGACACAAGGUGUGAGGUAGUGAUGAGGCUGCGAGUGACGUCCCCUUGGCGUUGCUAGGCACGCCUCCCAGCUGCCGGCAUGGAAAGGUCCAGAUUUUGACGGUCAACCUAUGUCAAGAUUUUUAUGGCUUCUUUCUCACAGGCUGGGCCAGGUGAAAUACUGGCGCCGACAGCUUGGAGUUUGGCAGCCGUGGACUUGUCCUGGCCAUUGUUAAGUCUGUGGAUUGUGGACGCCGCCCUUCCCUCCAUAUUUCUGCUGUAGUUUACAUUCUUGGGCAAGGAGACGCUGAGUGAUCUGUUGACAGCUUCGCACUUUUGAGUGCUGGUGUUCAUCCGGAGACUGGUGACGGCUGUCUCGCUCAACCUCAUGUGCAGUACUUCGGUCAAUAGUUUCGUGUCGUUGUCAUCCAUGUUAAAAGGGCAGAGUUUACUGGUGGAUAAAAACAGGGACCUCUCCCACCAGCUGCUGGUUUCCCCUCCGGAGCAAACCACACUGUUCCUGCGGCAUUUGGAACAGUCCCCACCGUAACACCUGACCGUUGCAUCCACAACCCUGGAUGCCAAUGUGACACCCUUUGAUGUUACUGUGCAGAGUAAUAACCUGCUGUGAGACAACAGCAAUGGUGCAGGGAGGUUUUUGCAUGAUAAACAUCUUGUCUUUCCAAAACAGUUGACCUGAUGGAGAUAUCUCGAACGGUAUAUGCACUGCAAGGCUUCAAAGUUUACCCCUCAGAGUUUUUUCACCCUGGAAAAAAGACACAUGUUCAAGAUGGGGGUACCCCAACUUGAAUUCAUUCAACUCCAAAGUUUCUGCAUGUAUCAAGCCCUAAUUUUGCCUGUGAGGUUCAAAAGUGUCAGGAAUUGUGUGGUGCAAAAAUUAUUGAUUUUGAAAAAAGGUGGCUGGUGUGAUAGGACACAGACCCCCAUUACAACUUCCGUUUUUCGGUAGGGACGAUUGUAGUUCUGUGAAUUUUAGGGUAUAAAGUCUUUUUUUGCUCCCAGGCGUCAAUUUUUGGUGCACAGGUGCAUGCUUGGUAUUAAAAUGCUGGAAACUGUCUAAACUUUGAGGAGGUAUGAGCUUUAUUGAUGAAAGUUUGAAAUUCUGGGCGAGAGGACACAAGGUGUGAGGUAGUGAUGAGGCUGCGAGUGACGUCCCCUUGGCGUUGCUAGGCACGCCUCCCAGCUGCCGGCAUGGAAAGGUCCAGAUUUUGACGGUCAACCUAUGUCAAGAUUUUUAUGGCUUCUUUCUCACAGGCUGGGCCAGGUAUGCACCAAAGCUUAAUGGCCACGGAAUGUUUGGGACUGAGCUACAGCGCUAGACGUUAACAUUGUCGCUUAUGGAAAAUUAA